rnacentral:rRNA from 1 species
ACUCCUGCGGGAGGCAGCAGUGGGGAAUUUUGGACAAUGGGCGAAAGCCUGAUCCAGCAAUGCCGCGUGUGUGAAGAAGGCCUUCGGGUUGUAAAGCACUUUUGUCCGGAAAGAAAUCCUUGGCUCUAAUACAGUCGGGGGAUGACGGUACCGGAAGAAUAAGCACCGGCUAACUACGUGCCAGCAGCCGCGGUAAUACGUAGGGUGCGAGCGUUAAUCGGAAUUACUGGGCGUAAAGCGUGCGCAGGCGGUUUGCUAAGACCGAUGUGAAAUCCCCGGGCUCAACCUGGGAACUGCAUUGGUGACUGGCAGGCUAGAGUAUGGCAGAGGGGGGUAGAAUUCCACGUGUAGCAGUGAAAUGCGUAGAGAUGUGGAGGAAUACCGAUGGCGAAGGCAGCCCCCUGGGCAAAUACUGACGCUCAUGCACGAAAGCGUGGGGAGCAAACAGGAUUAGAAACCCGGGUAGUCC